rnacentral:misc_RNA from 1 species
GCUGGUAGAGGGGGACGCCCUUCUCCGCAGCACCAGCCUCCGCGACGGCAAUGGAGACACCGAGGAUGGCGUUCGCGCCGAGCUUGCCUUUGUUCGGAGUGCCGUCAAGCUUGAUGAGGAAGUCGUCGAUCUCCUUCUGAGCAGUAACCUGGAGGCCAGACUUGACGAGCUCAACGGCGAUGAUGUCGUUAACGUUCGCGACCGCCUUGGAAACACCUUUUCCGACGUAUGCGUUCUUG